rnacentral:rRNA from 1 species
UACGGAGGCUGCAAGCGUUAUCCGGAAUGAUUGGGCGUAAAGCGUCCGCAGGUGGCUGUGUAAGUCUGCUGUUAAAUAGUGAGGCUCAACCUCAUAAAGGCAGUGGAAACUACACGGCUAGAGUGCGUUCGGGGCAGAGGGAAUUCCUGGUGUAGCGGUGAAAUGCGUAGAGAUCAGGAAGAACACCGGUGGCGAAAGCGCUCUGCUAGGCCGCAACUGACACUGAGGGACGAAAGCUAGGGGAGCGAAUGGG